AGAGUUUGAUCAUGGCUCAGAUUGAACGCUGGCGGCAGGCUUAACACAUGCAAGUCGAGCGGAAACGAUGAUAGCUUGCUAUCAGGCGUCGAGCGGCGGACGGGUGAGUAAUACUUAGGAAUCUACCUAGUAGUGGGGGAUAGCACGGGGAAACUCGUAUUAAUACCGCAUACGACCUACGGGAGAAAGGGGGCAGUUUACUGCUCUCGCUAUUAGAUGAGCCUAAGUCGGAUUAGCUAGAUGGUGGGGUAAAGGCCUACCAUGGCGACGAUCUGUAGCUGGUCUGAGAGGAUGAUCAGCCACACCGGGACUGAGACACGGCCCGGACUCCUACGGGAGGCAGCAGUGGGGAAUAUUGGACAAUGGGGGAAACCCUGAUCCAGCCAUGCCGCGUGUGUGAAGAAGGCCUUUUGGUUGUAAAGCACUUUAAGCAGUGAAGAAGACUCUUCGGUUAAUACCCGGAGACGAUGACAUUAGCUGCAGAAUAAGCACCGGCUAACUCUGUGCCAGCAGCCGCGGUAAUACAGAGGGUGCAAGCGUUAAUCGGAAUUACUGGGCGUAAAGGGAGCGUAGGUGGCUCGAUAAGUCAGAUGUGAAAUCCCCGGGCUCAACCUGGGAACUGCAUCUGAUACUGUUGAGCUAGAGUAUGUGAGAGGAAGGUAGAAUUCCAGGUGUAGCGGUGAAAUGCGUAGAGAUCUGGAGGAAUACCGAUGGCGAAGGCAGCCUUCUGGCAUAAUACUGACACUGAGGCUCGAAAGCGUGGGUAGCAAACAGGAUUAGAUACCCUGGUAGUCCACGCCGUAAACGAUGUCUACUAGUCGUUGGGUCCCUUGAGGACUUAGUGACGCAGCUAACGCAAUAAGUAGACCGCCUGGGGAGUACGGCCGCAAGGUUAAAACUCAAAUGAAUUGACGG
rnacentral:rRNA from 1 species